GAAUUAGAUCAUUUCUGACUUGUCAUGACCAGGGAUAUACCCAUGUAGACUGGCUUGGUUUGAAUUUCCAAAAGGAGGGUU